rnacentral:misc_RNA from 1 species
UGAAUAUCAAAAAGCAUUCUGUCAUCAUCAUUUGUAACAAAAUUGAUGGCAACACCCUUUCUUCCAAAACGCCCACUUCGGCCAAUUCGAUGAAGGUAAUUUUCUGGUUGGGUUGGUAAAUCAUAAUUUAUGACAAGGGAGACUUGCUGAACAUCAAUACCACGAGCUAACAAGUCAGUUGUGAUAAGGACACGAGACGAACCAGACCGAAAUUCACGCAUGAUUAUAUCUCGAGUGUUCUGGUCCAUGUCACCAUGG